AUAUGCUUGUCCAUCCUACCUGGCCGGAUCAGCGCUGGGUCCAGCUUGUCCUUGUGGUUGGUGGUGAAGAUGAUGAUACGCUCGCCGCCGCACGCCGACCACAGCCCAUCAAUGAAGUUGAGCAUCCCGGAAAGGGUCAGCUUGGUGCCAUCGGCGUCCUGCUUGCGCUCUUUCUUCAUGUUAUCGCUCUCACCACCGGACUUCUUGUCCCCGCGCUUGCCGGUAAAGUCGACGGAGCAGUCAAUGUCCUCGAUGACGAUGAUGGACUUUCCCUUCGUCUCAAUGAAGAGCUUCCGGAGCUCUAUAUUGUUCUUGACCGCCGUGAGCUCGAGGUCGUAG
rnacentral:rRNA from 1 species